UACGUGAGGAGGCGAGCGUUGUCCGGAAUCACUGGGUGUAAAGCGCGUGUAGGCGGCCUGCCAAGUCUGCUGUGAAAGCGCCUGGGCUUAACCGGGCGAGGUCGGUGGGAAACUGGCGGGCUGGAGGACGGUAGGAGGGGGGUGGAAUUCCCGGUGUAGUGGUGAAAUGCGUAGAGAUCGGGAGGAACACCAGUGGCGAAGGCGGCCCCCUGGGCCGUUCCUGACGCUGAGACGCGAAGGCGCGGGGAGCGAACGGG
rnacentral:rRNA from 1 species